UAUCAUCAGUAGAAAAAAUGCAAGAACCAAUAAGCUCCCUAAAUGAUUCUUUAAUUUGUGUGUAAAACUCUUAAACACUAACUAAAAAUACAGAAGGAAUAUUAUUUUGUUUGGGUAAUUAUUAUUAGCCAUUAGAUGAUCAUCCGCGCUACGCUGCGGUUUUUUCGAAUUUUUUCGUAUUGUUUAAUUUAAAUAUAAUUUUUAUUUAUCUAAUUACUUAUUCAUGCAAUAGAAAAUUUAUUUCUAAUGCCCUUUUCAUGAUGCCCUUUUUCAACUCUACCUUUUUUUUAGUCAUUUUUAUUUCUACUCUCUUUAAAUUUUUAAUGACCAUUUUACCCCUAUUUGAAAAUUGUAUUAGGUUAACAAAAUGAAAUAUUAAUAUUUUUCGCCUAAAUUAUUCCAAAAUAAAUUUCUCGCCAAAAAAAUUUCGGAAAAAAAUUCCCGCCAAAAAUUUUCAAAAAACAACACAUCUGCUAUAGGUUUUUUUGCGGGAAAAAAGUUUGGCGGAAAUUUUUUUUUUGCGUAAAAAUUUCAGUUUCCAAUUACAUGUUCCUAUUAGAUGAAGGUAAUUUGAUCAUUCUGUUCAAGAGAAGAGAUAUUUUUAAAAAUGGACAACACAAAAGGGUAUUGUUGCAAAAGGUAGUAAAAAAAGGGUAGUUUUGCAAAUUUCCCCAUGCAAUAAACAAUUAUUUUUAGUAUUAAAAAUAUUUUUUCUAAUAACAUUCUCAACAAUGCAUCAUACAGAUAAUUCAUAAACAACGUUUGUCUUAAACCAAUUUAACAAAGGGUAGUGUUGGAUUCUAGAAACCUAAGAAUUUGAUGAUGGAGCUCCUUACGUAUCUUUCCUUCUUAAUGAUUUAUUGUAUAAAUAUCAAUUUAAGAUAACAACUUACUCAAAUCAUUAAGUAAUCCACGACUAUUAUAUACUCAUACUUUGAGUUUGGAUUACCAAAAAAAAUCUUCCAGUAUGAGAAAACUAUUAAAAUGGUUUUAUUGAAAAAU
rnacentral:sRNA from 1 species